rnacentral:rRNA from 1 species
ACGAACGCUGGCGGCGUGCUUAACACAUGCAAGUCGAACGGAAAGGCCCCUUUGGGGGUACUCGAGUGGCGAACGGGUGAGUAACACGUGAGUAACCUGCCCUUGACUUCGGGAUAACUUCAGGAAACUGGGGCUAAUACCGGAUAGGAAUCCUUGCUGCAUGGUGGGGGUUGGAAAGCUUCGGCGGUUUUGGAUGGACUCGCGGCUUAUCAGCUUGUUGGUGGGGUAGUGGCUUACCAAGGCUUUGACGGGUAGCCGGCCUGAGAGGGCGACCGGCCACAGUGGGACUGAGAUACGACCCAGACUCCUACGGGAGGCAGCAGUGGGGAAUAUUGCACAAUGGGCGGAAGCCUGAUGCAGCAACGCCGCGUGCGGGAUGACGGCCUUCGGGUUGUAAACCGCUUUCAGCAGGGGCGAAGCUUGUGGUGACGGUACCUGCAGAAGAAGCACCGGCUAACUACGUG